CGCUUCCUGACGACAAGAUCUCAUGGACUGGUUUGCUGCAUCUCUUUCUAACACAUUGUAUCGAAAAUCUAUGAUGACAUUCAGUGUGAAUAUAGGCACGGAAAAGGAGGACAACUGUAGCAGUUUUACUAUGCGUAAGAGUGAAACAGCACUAAUCCAAAUAAAAAGAUGGUGUCGUCACUUAGCUCUGAAUGAUACUCUCUCUAUGCUAAUAUAUAACUCUAUGAGUAAAACAAGAAAAUAUUUGAAUUAAAACUAAAAAUUCAAAUAUAUUGACAUUAAUAGAAAGCGAUAUGCGCAGUGUGAAUAUAUUUUAAUUUUUAGUUUUAAUUCAAAUAUUUUCUUGUUUUACUAAGUCUCACUUCAGCAUCAAUUAGAGUAUAACCUAGCAAAACUAGAAAAUAAUUCAAUUAAAGCUAAAAUUCAAAUAUUUUUACGAAAAUUGACAUCGAUAGAAAGCGACAUGUAGAUAUCUACAGUGCACGGAAUCCAGUGGUGGGAUCACGAUCAGUAGAAUGGUAGAAUGCUGACGUCACAAAAAUAAUUCUACAAUCGACAAUUUUGGUAUCACGUUAACACGCUUGGGAAAGUAGAAUCGGUGCUCGGCAAUGUUCGGAUAUUCUACUAGCCGUGUUAAAAAUAUCGCUUCUUCUUCUUAAAAAUAUUGCUGUUUGACGUGUGGUUGUCUUUAUUUUGUGGUGGUUGCAUUCAAAAAGCUAACCUAAAGAUUAUUAUUUGUGAUUAUUUGCGUUUAUUUGAGAUAUUAUGUUUAUUUUUGUCUUAUGUUUGUUUGGAACUAUUUUAUUAGAAAUCACUAAAUUUUUGGAUUUUACCUGUGACUAGGGAACAUUGUUAUAUAAAGGUAUUUUUAUUCUUGGUAUGAAACACGCUGGAUGGACGACAUUAAACGAAUAUCCAAGAAAUGGCAACAAGAAGCACAGAACCGUGAAGAGUGGCGAAGAAUGGGAGAGACCUAUGUCCAGCAGUGGACAGAAGAGGUUGUAUGAUGAUGAUGAUGAUGAAACAAUGUUAAGACAAUACUGUGUGCUUUUUCAGUCCUAUGAAAGAAAAUGUUUUGGAUGUAACAGAGAAGUACUACAACUUUGUUAUGAAGAUUUGUCUUUGUUAUUUUUAUAAUGUUCAUGGAUUAUAUUUGUUUUUAUGUAUUCUUCAGUUUAAAUAAAGUUUAUGUUUUACCCA